GAAUAGCUCAGUCAGUAGAUCAUAACACUCUUAAUCUCAGGGUUGUGGGUUUGAGCCCCAUGUUGGGCA